UACGUAGGGGGCUAGCGUUGUCCGGAAUCAUUGGGCGUAAAGCGCGUGUAGGCGGCCCGGUAAGUCCGCUGUGAAAGUCGGGGGCUCAACCCUCGAAAGCCGGUGGAUACUGUCGGGCUCGAGUGCGGAAGAGGCGAGUGGAAUUCCUGGUGUAGCGGUGAAAUGCGCAGAUAUCAGGAGGAACACCGAUUGCGAAGGCAGCUCGCUGGGACGUUACUGACGCUGAGACGCGAAAGCCAGGGGAGCAAACGGG
rnacentral:rRNA from 1 species